rnacentral:rRNA from 1 species
GACGAACGCUGGCGGCGUGCCUAAUACAUGCAAGUAGAACGCUGAAGCGAGGAGCUUGCUCUUCUUGGAUGAGUUGCGAACGGGUGAGUAACGCGUAGGUAACCUGCCUUGUAGCGGGGGAUAACUAUUGGAAACGAUAGCUAAUACCGCAUAACAAUGGAUGACACACGUCAUUUAUUUGAAAGGGGCAAUUGCUCCACUACAAGAUGGACCUGCGUUGUAUUAGCUAGUAGGUGAGGUAAUGGCUCACCUAGGCGACGAUACAUAGCCGACCUGAGAGGGUGAUCGGCCACACUGGGACUGAGACACGGCCCAGACUCCUACGGGAGGCAGCAGUAGGGAAUCUUCGGCAAUGGGGGCAACCCUGACCGAGCAACGCCGCGUGAGUGAAGAAGGUUUUCGGAUCGUAAAGCUCUGUUGUAAGUCAAGAACGGGUGUGAGAGUGGAAAGUUCACACUGUGACGGUAGCUUACCAGAAAGGGACGGCUAACUACGUG